UUCUAACGUGGACCCGUAAUCCGGGUUGCGGACAGUGUCUGGUGGGUAGUUUGACUGGGGCGGUCUCCUCCUAAAGAGUAACGGAGGAGCACGAAGGUUGGCUAAUCCUGGUCGGACAUCAGGAGGUUAGUGCAAUGGCAUAAGCCAGCUUGACUGCGAGCGUGACGGCGCGAGCAGGUGCGAAAGCAGGUCAUAGUGAUCCGGUGGUUCUGAAUGGAAGGGCCAUCGCUCAACGGAUAAAAGGUACUCCGGGGAUAACAGGCUGAUACCGCCCAAGAGUUCAUAUCGACGGCGGUGUUUGGCACCUCGAUGUCGGCUCAUCACAUCCUGGGGCUGAAGUAGGUCCCAAGGGUAUGGCUGUUCGCCAUUUAAAGUGGUACGCGAGCUGGGUUUAGAACGUCGUGAGACAGUUCGGUCCCUAUCUGCCGUGGGCGCUGGAGAACUGAGGGGGGCUGCUCCUAGUACGAGAGGACCGGAGUGGACGCAUCACUGGUGUUCGGGUUGUCAUGCCAAUGGCACUGCCCGGUAGCUAAAUGCGGAAGAGAUAAGUGCUGAAAGCAUCUAAGCACGAAACUUGCCCCGAGAUGAGUUCUCCCUGAGACUUUAGGUCUCCUGAAGGAACGUUGAAGACGACGACGUUGAUAGGCCGGGUGUGUAAGCGCAGCGAUGCGUUGAGCUAACCGGUACUAAUGAACCGUGAGGCUUAACCUUACAACGCCGAAG
rnacentral:rRNA from 1 species